rnacentral:tRNA from 1 species
GAGAGAGGCUCGCUAACAGUAAAGACUGCUAAUCUUCUACCCCUUUGGUUGAACUCCAAAGCUCACUCG